AAGGUGACCUUCUGCUGCCACUCGGGUUCCGGCCACUGUCUGCCCACAGCCCCGACCUUCCAUGUCCUCUCGCUGUCCGCCCAGCCCCACCCCAUAGUGCCACAGGGGUCUUUUCAAAACAUAAACCAAAUGUUGUCUCUUCCUUUCUUGCAACUUUCCUAAAACUCCUAGAAUAAAGCCCCCAGCCUGGCUGGAAGCCCAGACGCUCAGCGCCCUCUGCCCCUCUGGACACAGCCCUGUUGGUCUUUGUCUCCAUUCCUCAGAGAAGCCGCUGCCUUCCUUCCCCAGGGCCGUGGCUCGCUGGUCGCCCUUCUGUCCUGGACACUCUCUCUUGGUCUGCUCUCACGGUACUCAGUCUCUUCCUGGCCUCCGUGAACUUCAGAGCUCCCCGCUGCCUGCCCUUCGGCUUCGGCUUCAAUGACACCCGCAUUGCUAUUCUCGCAGAGCAUGGCAGGAAGCAGCCUUAUCUUUGGAAUCCUCCUUUAACAGCCUCUUGAUCAGCCUGGCUCUUGGAUAUUUCCCGAGCACCUGUUAGGAUCUCAGCUCCUGGGACACAGCGUGAACAAGACAGACGUAGUCUCUGCUUACAUGGAGCAUCCUGUCUGAUGGAAGAGACACUCCACAGUGCCUAGCACCCGCUACAAAUUACCAGAGAAAAAUAUCACCUUCUACUUCUGCCCACGAGGGAGUGAGAUGGCCCAGAAAUACACUCCCCCUGGAAACAAGAGAAAAUUGGCCGAAACCCAGGGAAUGGCUAUUUUUAGACACUCAACAAUGGCAAGUACAGGAUUGUGAGUCCCGAGAGAAGGGAAAGGACAGAGGGAGCCCUGCCAUCACCUGCGUUCUGCCCAGAGGACAAUUCCAAACUAAGAAAGGGAAGGGCUGGCAGAGCA